GACAGAGGGUGCAAACGUUGCUCGGAUUUACUGGGCGUAAAGCGCGUGUAGGCGGGCGACUAAGUCGGAUGUGAAAUCCCUGGGCUCAACCUAGGAACUGCAUUCGAAACUGGUCACCUAGAGUGAUGGAGAGGAAAGCGGAAUUCCCGGUGUAGAGGUGAAAUUCGUAGAUAUCGGGAGGAACACCAGUGGCGAAGGCGGCUUUCUGGACAUUUACUGACGCUGAGACGCGAAAGCGUGGGGAGGCAAAACAGG
rnacentral:rRNA from 1 species